rnacentral:rRNA from 1 species
AUUGAACGCUGGCGGCAGGCCUAACACAUGCAAGUCGAGCGGCAGCGGAAAGUAGCUUGCUACUUUGCCGGCGAGCGGCGGACGGGUGAGUAAUGUCUGGGAAACUGCCUGAUGGAGGGGGAUAACUACUGGAAACGGUGGCUAAUACCGCAUAACGUCGCAAGACCAAAGUGGGGGACCUUCGGGCCUCACGCCAUCGGAUGUGCCCAGAUGGGAUUAGCUAGUAGGUGGGGUAAUGGCUCACCUAGGCGACGAUCCCUAGCUGGUCUGAGAGGAUGACCAGCCACACUGGAACUGAGACACGGUCCAGACUCCUACGGGAGGCAGCAGUGGGGAAUAUUGCACAAUGGGCGCAAGCCUGAUGCAGCCAUGCCGCGUGUGUGAAGAAGGCCUUCGGGUUGUAAAGCACUUUCAGCGAGGAGGAAGGCAUCAUACUUAAUACGUGUGGUGAUUGACGUUACUCGCAGAAGAAGCACCGGCUAACUCCGUGCCAGCCGCCGCCGUAAAAC